GAGUCGGUAGCGCAACUGGGAGCGCACCGCUUUGAAGAAGCGGCGUGUCUCGGUUCGAAUCCGAGUCGACUCA
rnacentral:tRNA from 1 species